CCCCUCGGUGUUUUGCCUAGAUGCCAGGAGAAAAACAAGAGACUGAAGGCGGUGUUUCAGAAGCUGAAGGAAUGUAUUCCUGUCCCACAGGUCCAGGGAUUUGUGAUGGACUUUGAGAUAGCCAGGCAGUGUGGCGGAAAACCAUGGAGCUCGGACUCAAGACGACAUACAGCCUCCGGGGACAGGA